rnacentral:lncRNA from 1 species
GGUCUCCUCCACGCCGAGCCUCGGAGAGCAGGGGCUUUGCUUUUCCGGCUGAGGUGUUCAAUAAACAUCUCUUAAACAAAGGAGUGCGCAAGUGAGAUAAUAUAAGGGGGAUGCCCAACUAUACAACAAAGAGUUGCCAAACAUUUCUCUGGAGCAAAUAAAUGGUGUGAUGGAUGGAACUAACUGGAUCACCAACCUGUGAGAGAUGGCUGGUUCACUGGCCUUGGCCUCCUCGGGCCAUGACAUUAAUUCACUGGCUCCACCCUCCACCCUGUUCUAUGGCCCUGGGCGUGACUUGCUCUUGCCCCUUGCCUUCUGUUUGGAUCCUGCCAAUGAGGACUCCUAGCAGGAGAUGGGGGCUCUCAUAUUUAACUGAAAGGCUCAGCUCCACGCAGCGUUUCUGUCUCCAGCCCACACAGCACGAUGAGAUAAAGACUAGAGGCUGCUCACUGCUGAGAGUGGACCAUCCAGCUCAUUUGGUCACAUAAUUUCCAGCCAGCCACCUUAUGGGCAAGAUUUUGGCUCACCUGUAAGCUAUUAGCUGGAAAAUACUGGCUUCAUGAAAUGGCUUGGAAGAUUUGGAGGCAACCUAAAUGUCCAUCAACAGAUGAAUGGAUAAAGAACAACAGGGUGACUAAAGUCAAUAAUAAUUUAAUUAUACAUUUA